CCACUGAAUGGUCGAUGUCAGAGAGGAUACGGAGGAGGACCCAGAGAGAGGCCACCAGAUGGUGCUGCUUCGUCGACUCUGUCUGCCCAUGAUGUCCUUCCUGUUGCAGACAGUACUGCAAAGAACACAACGUCACCAGGAGAGUCUCAGACUGGCUGAUAUCAUCGCCUCAGACCAACACCGCCUCUACGAGGUGUUCUCCAAGGAUGAGCUGAGGAAUUUCCUUCAGAAGAUGAGGGAGUCGUCUCUUCUCUUAUUGGAUAAGGGUCUAGACCCGCUGGGGUACGAGAUCCAACCAUAAAUACACCCCACCUGGACAUUUUUUUUUUUUUUGUGCCAAAUUUAAGUAAUGGAGUGAAUGAUUUUCUGCAUUUUGUAUACAAUAAAAGUGACGUGUCUGAAAUAUUGUUUGUCUUUGGGCCAUGCACAGACAGGAUGCAUAUACAGUAUCUGAAUCUAGAAGAGUAUUAAGGAAGGUUUGAGACACCACCUUGUCUAGGUCGAGAGGUGAUGGUUUUAGGUUAUCGCCUUCGCGACUUAACAAAGUGUCCAUGUGUAGGCGCUGUAGGCCACUGUGACGUGGUGGGUUCUCUUCACAGAACACGGAAGUAAAGGUCGCAUUAUGACGUCACUGCUCCCGUUAAGUUUGCAACCAGGCUCUUUUUUUUCCUGUAUGAUCCACAUGCGAUGGUAUGAAACGUAUGAAAGUUGUACAACGCUAACUGUACAUGCAGGACUGAAAUACUCUAGAAUGUAAUGUCACUGUAUAGGCCCUGUACAUUUUUACGAAAGGGGAUGUAUGCCCGAUCAGUCGGUAGUGUCGAAGCCUGGAGAGACCCCCGCAACUUUUCCUGAUGUGUGGCAGAGGGUAGACAUUUUUUUUUUUGGUUUACAUUAGCUACCUAGCUUCAUACUAUACAGUACUACUGAAACCUUGUAUGUAGAUUUUACAGGACAGUUCUCAAGACGACCAUGGCUAACCGACUGUCAGACCUUUUCUCGAACAGCCGUCUCGUCGUUGGAUUAUUGGCCAAUUUGCUAUCAUCCAUAUGCAUCGUUUUCAUCAACAAAUGGAUCUAUGUUCACUAUGGCUUUCCAAACAUGACUCUAACUCUGAUUCAUUUCGUUGUGACAUGGCUUGGACUAUGGGUAUGCCAGAAGAUGGACAUAUUUGCGCCAAAGAGUCUCCAACCCACCAAAAUUAUCUGGCUCGCUCUAAGUUUCUGUGGCUUCGUGGCUUUCACCAAUCUGUCUUUACAAAACAACACCAUCGGUACUUACCAGCUGGCCAAAGCGAUGACAACUCCUGUGAUCAUUGUCAUACAGACAAUGUACUACAAGAAGACAUUCUCCACCAAGAUCAAGUUGACUUUGGGCUCCCGAGUGGCACAGCGGUCUUAAGGUACUGCAUCUCAGUGCAAGAGGCAUCACUACAGUCCCUGGUUCAAAUCCAGAAUCCUGUGUUCCUGUGUUCUGUAUCACAUCCGGCCUUGAUUGAGAGUCCCAUAGGGUGGCGCACAAUUGGCCCAGCGUCGUCCAGGUUUGGCCGGGGUAGGCCGUCAUUGUAAUUAAGAAUUUGUUCUUAACUGACUUGCCUAGUUAAAUAAAGGUUAAAUAAAAUAAAAAAACUAAUCCUAACUUUUUAAAUUUAUUUUUAUGGUUACAGUAACACUAUUUACCUGCUAUGUUCCUGUGUGUCUGUCUACUAGGUCCCCAUAACGUUAGGUGAUGUGUGUCUGUCUGUCUACUAGGUACCCAUAACGUUAGGUGAUGUGUGUCUGUCUACUAGGUACCCAUAACGUUAGGUGAUGUGUGUCUGUCUACUAGGUACCCAUAACGUUAGGUGUGAUCCUCAACUCCUACUAUGAUGUGAGAUUCAACCUCCUGGGGAUGGUCUUUGCCACACUAGGAGUGUUCGUCACCUCCCUCUAUCAGGUGUGGGUAGGUGUGAAACAGCAUGAGCUCCAGGUUAACUCCAUGCAGCUACUCUACUACCAGGCCCCCAUGUCCUCUGCCUUCCUCCUCUCCCUC